rnacentral:antisense_RNA from 1 species
CUUCACCGAACCGAGCCACAGCGGCCGCUCCGGCUCACGGUCCUGGCCGUAGGUCGCGAGCAGCGCCUGCGCCUC